CUCUCUCUACCUCUCCCCCCGAUACCCCAAUCUCUCUACUCAGGAUCAUUCUAAAUGUCUACAUGAUUCCAACUCCAGACGAGACGACAGUGGCGGUAACACGACCAACAAGGGCAUUUACUGGGGCUACAGUACGUCACACGCUGCCGGCGACCUGUGUCGACAAGUGGAGCAACUGUGACUCCUACCCUCACUCGUGUGCGCCAGUGUACAAAGACUGGGCGUCCGCCAACUGUGCCCGCUUCUGCAACUUGUGUUGAGCGUCUUGGAAUCUGUACCGAGAAGAUGAGGGACGCAUGGAGUCUGCACUGCGAGAUUUUGUUGCUGUAUUACACAUAUUAAAUGACAAUGUCAGAUGACAUCAA